AUCCAGCUGACGAGUCCCUAAAAAUAGGACGAAACGCGUGUCCUGGAU
rnacentral:hammerhead_ribozyme from 1 species